UGGGGAAUUUUGGACAAUGGGGGCAACCCUGAUCCAGCAAUGCCGCGUGAGUGAAGAAGGCCUUCGGGCUGUAAAGCUCUUUUGUCAGGGAAGAAACGGUAGUAGCGAAUAACUACUACUAAUGACGGUACCUGAAGAAUAAGCACCGGCUAACUACGUGCCAGCAGCCGCGGUAAUACGUAGGGUGCAAGCGUUAAUCGGAAUUACUGGGCGUAGAGCGUGCGCAGGCGGUUGUGUAAGUCAGAUGUGAAAUCCCCGGGCUCAACCUGGGAAUUGCAUUUGAGACUGCACGGCUAGAGUGUGUCAGAGGGGGGUAGAAUUCCACGUGUAGCAGUGAAAUGCGUAGAUAUGUGGAGGAAUACCGAUGGCGAAGGCAGCCCCCUGGGAUAACACUGACGCUCAUGCACGAAAGCGUGGGGAGCAAACAGGAUUAGAUACCCCCGUAGUCCCUGAGCGGGCUGGCAAGGCGCAU
rnacentral:rRNA from 1 species